rnacentral:misc_RNA from 1 species
GGACACUUCAAGCUGAUAUUAACACAGCCAAACAAGCUUUACAAAAUGCUCUGUCACUCGAUGAAUCAAGCCCAAUUCCUGAUAUUGGAUGUUACCCAUUCAUAAAACAAGAAGCGAAAAUGUCUACUACUACUUAUGCAUCAAGUGCUGAAAACAUAGCCAAAUUACUCAAACAAUGGACCAGAAGCGAAUCCACAAAUAAUUCAGAGCAAUCAAAGGCUUCGUCAAGUACUCAAUUUUCUUGUAAUACUACUAACAAUAAUGCCAUGACUGAAUAUUCAUCUUCAUUUGAACCGUCGAAUUCAGAUCAAUUUUCACAAGCCACGAC